rnacentral:tRNA from 1 species
ACGCGGGAAAUCCGGUAGGGAGCGGGCCUGGAGAGCCCGUGGGGCUUACGCCCCGCGUGGGUUCAAAUCCCACCCCCGGCGCCA